rnacentral:rRNA from 1 species
GGGCCCGCACAAGCGGUGGAGCAUGUGGUUUAAUUCGAUGAUACGCGAGGAACCUUACCAGGGCUUAAAUGGGAAAUGACAGGGGCAGAGACGCCCCCUUCUUCGGACAUUUUUCAAGGUGCUGCAUGGUUGUCGUCAGCUCGUGCCGUGAGGUGUCAGGUUAAGUCCUAUAACGAGCGCAACCCCUACCGUUAGUUGCCAGCGUGUAAUGACGGGGACUCUAACGGAACUGCCGGUGCAAACCGUGAGGAAGGUGGGGACGACGUCAAAUCAUCACGGCCCUUACGUCCUGGGCCACACACGUGCUACAAUGGUAGGUACAGAGGGAAGCCACCCCGCGAGGGGGAGCUAAUCUUUAAACCUUAUCUCAGUUCGGAUCGAAGUCUGCAACUCGACUUCGUG